GUGAAAUGGGAGAUGUGAGGAGGCAAUGGAUAUAUCAAGCCAUAUGGAUAAAACAAAUAAUUCCUACACCAGUCAAAAACAAAUGCUUCACCUACUAGUGAGAAGAGAUCUUUUUGAGACUUGAAAGACAUCUGCUUGCAAUUAUAAUGAAACUGCUACUUCAUACUGCAGGUAGCCCAGAAUUGCGUGUCAAUACCUCUAUUCAAAGAAGAUCCCUGAGAAGGAGGCAUUUUCUUCUAAAAGCCCCAUUCUUGCCUCCCUCUGCUGCUUCGUUCUGCUUGGACUCAGCCCACCCGUCCUGCAGCUCCGAGUCAAGGCAUUUGGAUCAGAUCAUCCAGCUCCACCCAUCUCUGUCUCUGGUGAAUUUCUAACAGUUGUGACACAAGCACUAUCAAGAAUGUUACUUAAGUGGACAAAGUCCAAAAAGGUCCCCAUGCCUAAAUGAGAGACAAUGCGUCUGGGGAGCUACAUUUACC